GACGAACGCUGGCGGCGUGCCUAAUACAUGCAAGUUGAGCGCUGAAGGUUGGUACUUGUACCAACUGGAUGAGCAGCGAACGGGUGAGUAACGCGUGGGGAAUCUGCCUUUGAGCGGGGGACAACAUUUGGAAACGAAUGCUAAUACCGCAUAAAAACUUUAAACACAAGUUUUAAGUUUGAAAGAUGCAAUUGCAUCACUCAAAGAUGAUCCCGCGUUGUAUUAGCUAGUUGGUGAGGUAAAGGCUCACCAAGGCGAUGAUACAUAGCCGACCUGAGAGGGUGAUCGGCCACAUUGGGACUGGGACACGGCCCAAACUCCUACGGGAGGCAGCAGUAGGGAAUCUUCGGCAAUGGACGAAAGUCUGACCGAGCAACGCCGCGUGAGUGAAGAAGGUUGUCGGAUCGUAAAACUCGGUUGGUAGAGAAGAACGUUGGUGAGAGUGGAAAGCUCAUCAAGUGACGGUAACUACCCAGAAAGGGACGGCUAACUACGUG
rnacentral:rRNA from 1 species